GGGGUUGUAGCUCAGUGGCAGAGUGCUUGCCUAGGAUGCACGAGGCCCUGGGUUCGAUCCUUAGCACCA
rnacentral:tRNA from 1 species